AACCCAAUUAAUGCGGAUCAUUGUUGAACGAGAAAUUUCGCGCGUAGGGUUGCGUUAGGAGUCAAAAAUUGAGGUCUAAAAUAUCAACGUGCAUAAGUCAAAUCAGCUGAUUGCACCGGUUGCCCUCAUACAAAUGCAAUCAUGAGUAUACUAUACAAAAAAACAAAUGAGUGAACAUCUUAACGACUUUUCGCUCGCAUUUAUUGGUGAUCCAAGCAGGCCAGACAAAAAAUAUUUUCGCAACGGCCAUUUUGACUCCAGCCUUCUUUACGAGAGCCAUGAAUUGCAAAAUGCUCAACAUUUUCGGGAGGAGUACCUGCUGCUGGAAAUCACCCGCCAGAGCCCAUUGGUCAAAACAGCAAACUAGGACAGGACUAUCGUUUGCAGCCAGCCAAUGUUCUCCGGCCCACCUUACGUACUUCGCCGUACUCGGAAACUCCAGUCAUCAAGUGCCGGUUCUCAAACGCAUGUUAUCUCCACUUCAUCGUUGCCAUAAAGUGUCAAAAUUUGAUUUGUGAAAAGUGCCUUCCCU